CUGAUGACCUCUCCAGAUAGUGCUCUUGUGAAGUAGUUUUGCCUAAAGGCCUAACACCUAUAAGCCCCUCUGAAGUUUUACUUUGGAUGCAGACUGUAGACCACAAGCAGUUCCCUGCACUGGAGGACAGGCUCCCUCGUAGGAGAGCAGAUCUGAGCCAACUCUCGCGUCAGACAGGGCCAGGCACAGCUCCAGAGGCCAGAUGGUGGCAGCCAUUCUCUCCCCAGGUUUUUUUCUUCCUGAUGUUGCCUGCCCUAGAGCACAGAUGGGGAAAGCCCUGCAACUGAGAAACCCGGAUUCCGGUCCCAGCCCAGCAUGUGUAGGCAUGUCACACUCUUUAAAAUACGAUCUCAUGAAAGUGAUGGCUUCUAUUAUUUCUAACCAGUAAAAUCUCUCCUAUGCAGGUGAGGAAUGUUCCAGUCCCCACUCCACCACAGUUUGUCUCCAUGUUCCUGGCCACCCAGACACCACCCACCCUUAGCUGAUGGCUCAGAUUAAUUCCAAAUGCCUGGGCAAAUAUUUCAGCCAUGGCCUUGAGUCCUUGAAUCCUGACAUUGCUCAUGAAAUGAACAAGUUCCAGGUGGAGGGGUCUCUUACAACCACGGAGUGUGAAGAAAUCACUUUGCUGAUUUUGGAGCCUUGCAUAAAACAGAAACAAAAAUGUAAAAUAACCUAGAGGCUGCAGAGACCCGGGCGCAUGUCCCUCCAUGCCCUGCAGAGGGCAACCUGCCCUUGUGAUCGGCUCUGGCUGGUUUGGAGUGGUCUCCUUUUCUCCUGGCUUACCCCCAGGGCCUGGAAUGGAAGAGGAAUUGAACCAGCAUAGUCAAUAAAAAUAUGGAGAUGCCCAGACUGCUCCAGGGGUCCCCGCACCCUCAUCUGCCACCAGCGGGUAGAUUUGCCCCCUGGAUUCCCACGGAGCAGCUCCAACACUUGCCACGGGAAGAUGCAGCUGCCGUCCAACUGAAGCUGCCCCGAUGGGGGACUUGCGUGUUUCCGGGUUCUCUCUGCAGGGUGAGCUCCUUGUCUUCUGUAGUGAGCUGACCUGUGCCCCGAGAAAGGAAUGCCCAAGUCCUAACCCUUGGUCCCUGCCAGGUGCCCUCCCUGGGAAAGAGUCAUUGCAGAUGUCUUUGAGUGAAGAGGUUCAGGUAGGGGCUGAAUCCCAACCACUGAUGUCUUUAUGGAGGAAACGAGAGGCUGGAGCCACAGAGGAGACGGAGUCAAAGGUCCAGAGACGCAUGUGACGGAGGUGUCCACACGCUGAGAGAGGGAUGCCCAGGAUGCUGAUGCCCCCAGGACCCGGGAGGAGGCAUGGCCGGGUGGAGCCUCCCUCCGAGCCUCAGAAGGAAACAGCCCCUUCCGGCUCCUUGAUUUGGACUUGCGGCCUCCAGUACCUGGAAAGACCCUGUUGUGGUCAUUCAUUCUGGUAGCCCUACCGCUGGUGACACUCUCCACGGCCUUAGAGUUCUGUCCAGGGCAGUCGGUAGCAGUCUCCUGUAAGGGUAAAAGAAAUUGAAGUUAAAGUGUUAAAAGACCGGGCAUUGUAAAGUUUCUAAGCUGCAAGGCCUGAGUUAAAAAGUAAAGGACCAGGUAUUGUUAAGUUCCUAUGCUACACGCAAAACCUGAAAUUCCUGUAGCUGUUAGGACAAUUCACCAGAACUGCCCAGUAAAUAUUCCCCCUGACCGCCUGGUUGUUUAAUAACCUAGGACUCUGUGUGACCUUGCACGUAGACAUCGCAGGGCCUGAACCAAUCAGUUUGAAUGUACCUCCCUCCUUAGAACUGACCUAUCACCCCCGCCCGACCUGUUCCCGCCAAUGAAUGAACUAAUCAUGUUUUAGAAUUGUUGUUUGAUUUUCCCGUGGUGUAUGAUGAUUUGUUAAAGGAGACUGUGAUGUAUGUAAAGUCCCCGCCCUCCCCAAAAAGUGUACUUAAGCAGUGCCCAGCCCCUGCUCGGGGCUCUGGGCUGCUCUCCCUUCUUGAGUGAGCACGGAGCCCCAGCGCGCUGGAAUGGAUCCCCAAUAAAUCCCCUUCUGCAAUUGCA